GAGGCUUUAGUAUAUUUUAGUAUAACUUAUUUUCAAUAAGUGGGUUUUAAGUCUUAU
rnacentral:tRNA from 1 species